rnacentral:rRNA from 1 species
UACAGAGGGGGCAAGCGUUGUUCGGAAUUACUGGGCGUAAAGGGCGCGUAAGCGGCCUGCUAAGUCGAACGUGAAAUCCCUGGGCUCAACCCAGGAACUGCGUCCGAUACUGGUUGGCUUGAAUCCGGGAGAGGGAUGUGGAAUUCCAGGUGUAGCGGUGAAAUGCGUAGAUAUCUGGAGGAACACCGGUGGCGAAGGCGACAUCCUGGACCGGUAUUGACGCUGAGGCACGAAAGCGUGGGGAGCAAACAGG